rnacentral:piRNA from 1 species
UUCUUCCUGGCCUCUGUGCAGCCUCC